GGGUUUGAUUCUGGCUCAGAUUGAACGCUGGCGGGAUGCUUUACACAUGCAAGUCGGAGCAGCGGCACGGACUUCGGUCUGGUGGCGGGUGGCGAACGGGUGAGUAAUGUAUGGAACGUGCCUAGUAGCGGGGGAUAACUACUGCGAAAGCGUAGCUAAUACCGCAUACGCCCUUCGGGGAAAACGGGGGACCUUCAGGGCCUCGCACUAUUGAGCAACCGAUAUGGAUUAUUAGUUGGUGAAUUAACAGCUCGCAGGCGACGAUCCAUGUAGCUGGUUUGAGGAGGACGACCAGCCCGCACUGGGACUGAGACACAGCCCAGACUCCUACAGGAGGCGAAAGCAGUGAAAUUUGGACAAUGGGGGAAACCCUGAUCAGCCAUCCCGCGUGUGCGAUGAAGGCCUUCCCGGGUUGUAAAGCACUUUUGGCAGGAAAGAAACGGCACGGGAUAAGCUACCCCGUGCAACUGACCGGUCACCUGCAGAAUAGCACCAGUAACUUCGUGCCAGCAUCCGCGGUAAUACGUAGGGUGCAAGCGUUAAUCGGAAUUACUGGGCGUAAAGCGUGCGCAGGUUCGGAAAGAAAGAUGUGAAAUCCCAGAGCUUAACUUUGGAACUGCAUUUUCUUCAGGCUGGGGUGUGUCAGAGGGAGGUGGAAUUCCGCGUGUAGCAGUGAAAUGCGUAGAUAUGCGGAGGAACACCGAUGGCGAAGGCAGCCUCCUGGGAUAACACUGACGCUCAUGCGAAAGCGUCGAGGCAAACGGGAUUAGAUACCCUGGUAGUCCGCCCUAAACGGUAUCAACUAGCUGUUGGGGCGCCCGGGCCUUGGUAGCGCAGCUAACGUGAAGUUGACCGCCUGGGGGUAUGGUCGCAAGAUUAAAACUCAAAGGAAUUGACGGGGACCCGCACAGCGGUGGAUGAUGUGGAUUAAUUCGAUGCAACGCGAAAAACCUUACCUACCCUUGACAUGUCUGGAAUCCCGAAGAGAUUUGGGAGUGCUCGCAAGAGAACCGGAACACAGGUGCUGCAUGGCUGUCGUCAGCUCGUGUCGUGAGAUGUUGGGUUAAGUCCCGCAACGACUGGCCGCUGUCAUUAGUUGCUACGAAAGGGCACUCUAAUGAGACUGCCGGUGACAAACCGGAGGAAGGUGGGGAUGACGUCAAGUCCUCAUGGCCCUUAUGGGUAGGGCUUCACCCGUCAUACAAUGGUCAGGACAGAGGUCCUUAGCCGCGAGAGAGCCAAUCCAGAGCCCGAUCGUAGUCGGAUCAUGAUCUGCAACUCGACUGCGUGAAGUCGGAAUCGCUAGUAAUCGCGGAUCAGCAUGUCGCGGUGAAUACGUUCGGGUCUUGUACACACCGCCCGUCACACCAUGGGAGUGGGUUUACCAGAAGUAGUUAGCCUAACCGUAAGGAGGGCGAUUACCAACCAAUACGUAACCCCG
rnacentral:rRNA from 1 species